AUGAACGCUGGCGGCGUGCCUAAUACAUGCAAGUCGAGCGAACAGACGAGGAGCUUGCUCCUCUGACGUUAGCGGCGGACGGGUGAGUAACACGUGGAUAACCUACCUAUAAGACUGGGAUAACUUCGGGAAACCGGAGCUAAUACCGGAUAAUAUAUUGAACCGCAUGGUUCAAUAGUGAAAGACGGUUUUGCUGUCACUUAUAGAUGGAUCCGCGCCGCAUUAGCUAGUUGGUAAGGUAACGGCUUACCAAGGCAACGAUGCGUAGCCGACCUGAGAGGGGGAUCGGCCACACUGGAACUGAGACACGGUCCAGACUCCUACGGGAGGCAGCAGUAGGGAAUCUUCCGCAAUGGGCGAAAGCCUGACGGAGCAACGCCGCGUGAGUGAUGAAGGUCUACGGAUCGUAAAACUCUGUUAUUAGGGAAGAACAAAUGUGUAAGUAACUAUGCACGUCUUGACGGUACCUAAGCAGAAAGCCACGGCUAACUACGU
rnacentral:rRNA from 1 species